CUCUCUCUCUCUCUCUCUCUCUCUCUCCCUCUCCCUCUCCAUUCCUCCCCCAGCAGUCAGGGAGGUGUUCUUUGUUGGUGUGGAAGAGCGAGAAGAAGCGCAGAUUCCCAUCCAGUGCAAAAUGGAAGAAGCUGGAAGUAAAGAACAUAAGAAGAAGAGGGAGGGAGAGAGAGAGGCCAUCUCUCCCCCCUUUUCCUCCCUCUCUCCUUUCCUCCACUGACUUCCACCUCGGACACAGCGGAGGGAGCAACUUCAGAAGGAAGGAGCUGAAGUGUGAAACGUGAGACGAGAAGCGGGAUGACGAGGCUGACCGGCUCUCCUCUGUCCAGCAACCAGGGUGCGGUUGGACCGGACGCCGGCGAGGAGGAGGACAGAAAGUUGAGGGGACAAACCCAAAGAGCCCCAAACUUUUGAUGCUGGAUUACCGAGCAAAAAAACAUGGGAAUCUGAAUGAUACAUGGCGGACAAAAGCGGUGAGCACCAGAGGACUCGGACAGAGAGAGGAUUCACUAGAAGGUAAAAGAAUGACCCUCAUCCGAUCUAAUAAA